AGGGCACCACCAGGAGUGGAGCCUGCGGCUUAAUUUGACUCAACACGGGAAAUCUCACCAGGCCCGGACACUGGAAGGAUUGACAGAUUGAGAGCUCUUUCUCGAUUCGGUGGGUGGUGGUGCAUGGCCGUUCUUAGUUGGUGGAGUGAUUUGUCUGGUUAAUUCCGAUAACGAACGAGACUCUGUCCUGCUAAAUAGGCAGUGGAUUAUUCGUCCACUGUACUUCUUAGAGGGACAAGCAGCGUCUAGCUGCACGAGAUUGAGCAAUAACAGGUCUGUGAUGCCCUUAGAUGUUCGGGGCUGCACGCGCGCUACACUGAAGGAAUCAACAUGCUUCUCAACCUUGGCCGGAAGGUCUAGGUAACCCGUUGAAACUCCUUCGUGAUUGGGAUAGGGAAUUGCAAUUAUUUCCCUUGAACGAGGAAUUCCCAGUAAGUGCGGGUCAUCAGCUCGCGCUGAUUACGUCCCUGCCCUUUGUACACACCGCCCGUCGCUACUACCGAUUGGAGGUAGAGCAGA
rnacentral:rRNA from 1 species